rnacentral:lncRNA from 1 species
ACGUCAUUGGGACUCAGCCAAUCAUGGUGGAGCUGGUACAGGUGGGAAAUUUGAAUGUGCUCUGUAUAAAAGUGCCUGUUUUUCAAUGUAAUGUAUCUCAGCUUAUCUUUUGCAGAUUACUUUUUUGCGUCUUGGAUCUCAAUAUCCUCGGUUGUUUAAAUUGCCCUAUUUCACUUAUGUAGACAAUUUUGGAGCGUUUCUGGAUGAGGAAACUCUCAGUUAAUCUGUCCUCAUAUGGCUCUAUGUAGUUUCUGGUUGUUUGAGAGUUACUAUUAAAAAUAGGCCUAACUCAUACUAUUCCCCAUACUAUACAAUAUCAUACUAUAAACUGUAUUGAUAUAUUAUAUUGAAACACGGUAAUUAAAUGUAAAUUAAGACAAACAAUAAUAAACUUAAUGUAACAUAGUUUUACUGUAUUGUAAAAGCAGGGUUUUUUUUUAAAUUUAAAGUAUUAUUUCUUGGAAGUUUUUUUGCAUUUUGCUUGAAUUCUAGAUGUCAGAGUCUACCGCACUCAGCCUAUACUUUUUGUUUUGUAGCUCAGAAAUUAGGGUUAACGGCUGACUCUUUGCCAUUUUAAUGGUUGUGUAGAAGAGAAAAUUUUGGUUGUCACGCAGGUAAAAUGUUCUGAAGUUCCUUCUAUGCAGAUAUAAAUGAGGCACCUGGCAAUCAGAAUAUUAACUAUGCUUGCCUGGUGUCCCUUAUGGUGGAUGUCUCUUAUUUGAAAGACAUAAACAUUAUCCGUUAUAUGACUUGAAGCUAUCCCUUAUUAUAUCCCCUAUUUGAGGAUUGGAAAUCUUUUCCUUUUAUAUACAUUGAAAAAGAUGAUUUAAAAGUCCUAUAUUUGGGGGAAUUGGUCCAUCAAGAAGACAGAAAUGUGUACAUGUCAUUUAUUAAUUUGGACUAUGCCUUUAUUUUACAAAAGGCACUAAAUUAACUGAAAGCAAUAGUUUCUUUUUGGUAUUUAGCUAGACGUUAGUUGUUAAUAGUGUCCGAUAGGAGAAAUAAUACCAAAAGAAAUCCUUUUGGGAGGCUUAAAAAAAGGAACGGUUUAUUUUA